AGUGAACGCUGGCGGUAGGCCUAACACAUGCGAGUCGAACGGCAGCACAGGAGAGCUUGCUCUCUGGGUGGCGAGUGGCGGACGGGUGAGGAAUACAUCGGAAUCUACUCUGUCGUGGGGGAUAACGUAGGGAAACUUACGCUAAUACCGCAUACGACCUACGGGUGAAAGCAGGGGACCUUCGGGCCUUGCGCGAUUGAAUGAGCCGAUGUCGGGUUAGCUAGUUGGCGGGGUAAAGGCCCACCAAGGCGACGAUCCGUAGCUGGUCUGCGAGGAUGAUCAGCCACACUGGAACUGAGACACGGUCCAGACUCCUACGGGAGGCAGCAGUGGGGAAUAUUGGACAAUGGGCGCAAGCCUGAUCCAGCCAUACCGCGUGGGUGAAGAAGGCCUUCGGGUUGUAAAGCCCUUUUGUUGGGAAAGGAAUCCAGCUGGCUAAUACCCGGUUGGGAUGACGGUACCCAAAGAAUAAGCACCGGCUAACUUCGUGCCAGCUGCCGCCGUAA
rnacentral:rRNA from 1 species